UUAAGUUCAGCGGGUAUCCCUACCUGAUCCGAGGUCAAAGGUUGAAAAAAAGGCUUGCUGGACGCUGACCUUGGCUGGCGAAGAGCGCGACUUGUGCUGCGCUCCGAAACCAGUAGGCCGGCUGCCAAUGACUUUAAGGCGAGUCUCCGGCGAACUGGAGACAAAAGACGCCCAACACCAAGCAAAGCUUGAGGGUACAAAUGACGCUCGAACAGGCAUGCCCUUUGGAAUACCAAAGGGCGCAAUGUGCGUUCAAAGAUUCGAUGAUUCACUGAAUUCUGCAAUUCACACUACGUAUCGCAUUUCGCUGCGUUCUUCAUCGAUGCCAGAACCAAGAGAUCCGUUGUUGAAAGUUGUAAUUAAUUACGUUGUUACUGACGCUGAUUGCUAUUGCAAAAGGUUUGUGGUUGGUCCUGAGGGCGGGCGAGCCCACCCAGGAAACAAGAAGUACGCAAAAGACACGGGUGAAUAAUUCAGCAGGGCCGGCCCCGCCGCGCACGCCGUGAAGCAGUGCCCAGCGGGGGGUGUCCAGCCCGCCUUGUUAUUGUGUAAUGAUCCCUCCGCAGGUUCACCUACGGAGACCUUGUUACGACUU
rnacentral:misc_RNA from 1 species